rnacentral:rRNA from 1 species
UACGGAGGGUGCGAGCGUUAUCCGGAAUUACUGGGUUUAAAGGGUGCGUAGGCGGCUAUGUAAGUCAGGCGUGAAAGUUUGCGGCUCAACCGUAAAAUUGCUUUUGAUACUGCAUGGCUGGAAUUAGGAUGAGGUCAGCGGAAUGUGGCAUGUAGCGGUGAAAUGCAUAGAUAUGCCAUAGAACACCAAUUGCGAAGGCAGCUGGCUAGACCUGGAUUGACGCUGAGGCACGAAAGCGUGGGGAGCAAACAGG